GGCAUCCUCUCAUGAUCAGGCAGUCGGAGCAGACCGUCCAUCCCGCUUUGGUUACCUGGCCAUGUAUGUGGUAAUAUAACUCCACAGACAUCCGAUUACAUCCCUAGAUUUGGAGAGAAGCUACUAAUGAUCCUGUGACCAAACCAAAGGACAACAGAAACAGCCUUCAAGGUGAAAAAUGAGAAGAUACCUACACCAGCCUCUACCCCACUUCAGCUUUCAAUUUGUCACUGCCUGUCAGUGAUGGAGAAUGAUAUUCUCAAUAUAAAAUAAAAACCACUGUGGAUGAUAGGAGGAAAACACAAACAAGCCACCAGAGAUGGUUGAAGAAAGGAAAUGGGACGUGAGAAUAAAGAGAUAUCUUCCAUUUCCAGUUGUGAAAUGGGAUGAGUCCCAGAAUUUGAAGAUAGAACCCAACCUGCAAGUUCAAGAGAACGGAGAUCUACUGGAGCAAGAGCCAGGCCGCUGCAGGGCAGAGU
ensembl:lncRNA